rnacentral:lncRNA from 1 species
GGUCCCUAAAUGAGCUGAUUCUCAUCAAAGCCGAGAAGCAUAGUCAGGUGUGGUGGCUCACGCCUGUAAUCCCAGCACAUUCAGAGGCCAAGGUGGACGAGCCACUUGAGGCCAGGAGUUCGAGGCCAGCCUGGCCAACAUGGAGAAACCUUGUCUCUAAAAAAUAAAAGAAUAAAGAAGCAGCAGAACUUUGUAGAGUCCCUCCAGGAAGCAGUGCCACGAGGCCUUGGGGCUGCUUACUACAACUGAAGGAAGUGUAAGCGACCGCCUCUCUGAGACAGCCAGAGAGGAAGUCUCAUUAGGUUGCCCAGACUGAUCUUGAAUCCCUGGACUCCAGCAAUCCACCUGCCUCGGCCUCCCAAAGUGCUUGGAUUAUGCGUGUGAGCCGUUGCACCUGCCACAUACCUGAAUUCUUUAUUGAGUGGAAAAUAUGGCUGACCACAACGCCCAGAUUUUAUAGACAGUAGUUCCACUGCCUUUGGGAAUCCAGUUCUUGUUCCCAAUUUCAGGUAUUAAUAUCCUAGGGAAUUCUCUGAUGUGCUUUUGGGUUUACCGGCCUCCCAUGGACCAUUCAUGUGUAGGAGGCAUGAAGGCCAGGGCACGUGAAAGCAUGCCUGCCGCCCUGGACACUGUUCAGCAGGUCCCAGAAGGAGCCUAUGUUUACAGAGUAAGAGGAGAGGCUGACCAGCAAACAGAAGGGUCUGAUUCAUCCCCAAAUCACGAGACGAGCAAGGAACAAGGGGGCUGGUUUGCCUGGAAUAGAGUGAACAAGAUAAAUGCAUGAGAGAUGAAGUCAGGAAGACCAUGGAGGCCACAAGCAUGAGGCCCGUGGGCCAUUCUGACACUGAGGUCUACUCCACAUGAGAAAUGAAGGAAAAUCAAGACACUAGCAGAGGGUGCAGAACUAAGUGAAUCUGUUGUCAGCAAAGGUGUCCCAAAAGAACGACUAAUGGAAGUUAUCUUAACAGAAAGUGAUAACAGAAGAGAUCUUGGAAUAUCAGAGACAAAGAAAGAACAAUGGAAAGAAGAAAAAAUGGGUAUGUAUAAUAGGCUUUCGUUCUCCUCAGUUUUCUAAAUUAUAUUCGAGAUAUGAAGCAAAAAUUAUAACACUGACAUGGUUCUCACCGCAUGUAGAGGAAAUAUUUAAGAUAAUCAUGUAUGAAUGUGGGAGGGUAAAGGACAUGAAGAAC